GGUCAGCAAGAAGUGAUAAAUGGCUUCCUCUGUGCUUCAGAGGACCUAGUGCAGACUGAAGGGGGAGUCACAAUCCCAAUUCCUGCUGCUUGUGCCUUACAGCACAGCCAAGCAGACCUUUCUAUAGGGGUUUUUUUAAUAGGUUUGUGAUGAAAUGUGGAGGAACAACUCCAGACUUGAAGGAUAUUAGUGCUAUGGGUUUUUUAGUCUUUUAUAGCAGCACCAUCAGGCUGAGCUGUUGCACUGCACCAACACCUGCACUGGUGGGAGCCCUAUUUCUCCCGCUUGCCUCUGCAUUGCUUGUGCAGGCUUUGUGGGCUGCAGCUUCCAGUUUCCCAACUGGCAGACCUGCAAUGCACCCUCCCUCCAGCUCACUCCAUUCACAUGUACCUCUGCAAAGUAUCUCAUCCCAUCUAUGGUGUGUUCAGAGCCGCUGGUCUCCAGGUCCAGGCCACCCCAGUGCAGAUGCAUCUGUACAGCUGUGUAGAGGCCAGGGAGCCCUCUGGAGAUGUGCAUGGUGGGUGGCAAAUCAAUCUGAACUGAAAAUAAACAGGAUUGGAGACAGCAGUUGGUGCAGCCAUGCCCAUUCUUGUAGUUGUGCUUACAGUGCCCAGUGCUUUCUGCCAGUAACUCCUGAAAUAAGCAGGAAUAGGCACGUUCAGGGAACUAACUCCAGUAUACAAGGAAAACCACUGAAGCAUAAAGCUAAGUGUGCAUAAAAUCUUUCCUGACCUCAGGCUUGUGCACCACAAAGACUAAACCAGGCACAAAAAUGACUGGGCACAACCCUCUGCAUCAUCUGCAAUCUUUCCUAUCUAAGCAGCUCUGGGUUUUUAAUUAGGCACUAAAAGUGCUUUAAUGCUCAUCUCUCCCACAGUACAUCACAUCUUGCAGGGUUCUGCACAGAUUUAACUGCUUUCUUUCCAAGGAAGAAAAGGGGAAUGGAAAUCAACAAAGUGAGUGGCCUCCUCUAACCUGUCAUCACCAUUUCCAGUGUCCUAGAAUCUGCAUCUUCUAGGAACAGGAAUACUGGGCCAGAGCCCUCUAAGUUUGAAAAGGCUGUGUUCAUGCUUGAAGGAUUUGUAGAGACGAAUCUCUUUGCUUCUCCUUGCCAAGGAGCAUUCACAAAGAGACUAUGAACCAUUUGUCUUCCUGCUAAUAUACUGCUACAAAUCAUAUAUUAUGUUAAUAAAUAUGCCAAACCUAGGAGGGAAAAUGGGAAUUGCCUCAUCCUAAUAAAAGCCCACAGCAUGUCACAAAAAAUAGCAACUACCCUUGCAAAAUGUGGCACAUUAUAUGAUUCAUUAGUCACAGAUUCUGUUAGUGAGAAGCUUCUUUUGCUUGUAAACUGUUUCCAGGCAGACAAGAUGAAAACAUCUUUCCUUGUAAUAUCCUGAAGAGCCUCGAGUGUAUGAGGGGGAAAUCUACCUUUUCACACAAGAUCCCUGCUGACUGCCUUCCAGAGAUAGGCUUAUUUGCCUCAAGUACCUCACUAUGGUUUCUGCUUUCUACAAAACACAGCCAGGGAAUUGUGCUCUGAGUUUAUGACAAGCUCAAGUCCUCUGUAAGAUAUCUAAAGCAAAUAUUUGCUGACAGCAUGAAGGCAGGUAACAGCCCACUCAUCUAGGCGUUCUCAGGUGGGGUUCAGCCUGGUAAUUGUACAGCUAGAGAGAAAGUGAAGCUGGUUUCUUAGGUGAAACAGUUGAUCUUCAGCUUCUCAGAGCUUGUAAGGAGAAUCUUGCUGACAAACCCAUCUCCUAUUCUUUCCGUUCUGCUGAAUGCUUUCUGCUGUGGCCCAGUGGAAUAUUUUCUCUGAGAGAUACUGCUACCAUGUCCCAUCCCGCUGAUGCCAAGAGGAAGAAAGGACUGGCCUGAAGGAUUAAGGAGCACCAGCUUUGUGUUCCAAACACCUUCCCAGAAACACUCAUUCCCUCCCCACUGCAGCUAUUAGAAAAUUCUCUCGUUGCUCAUCUGUAGUCCAAAAGCAUUAUCCCAACAGUACCAGCUGAUGAAUUAUUUAGGCAAUGAAUUACAGACUGCAGCAGGGGAAUCCAGGACCUCUUAAUUUAUAAACCUUGCCCCAAGGCUCUGUGGCCAAAGGCAAGGCUUUUAACCCAUGCUGUGCUUCAGCUUUUCUUCCCGAUAACUGAAAUACCAAUCCUCUGACUAGAAGGGAGUGUUGUACUUUGUGUGACCUGCAUCUAACCAAACCUCAGACACAAACCUGCUACUGAACUAUGGUUCUCCAUUCCUAUCAUUUCUUAUUAUUGCAAAAGAUGCAUUUUCUAAAUGCAGAGAGGAGUCGGUAUGCCCCAAAUACCACUCACUGCUGUAGUCCUGCAGUCUUGUACUAUACGGAAUGAAAGGGUCAAUCUAUAAUGCUCUAUCUGCCUUUUAUCCAUUUUUGAUGUCUAACAGAGAAAUUAUCUUGCAGGAACAUAACUGGCUUUUUAUUUCUCUGGUUUAUACACAUGUUUCUGGAGUGCUUUCCUGUGUGAUUGGGGAAAACAGCAGAACUACAGGAGCAGAAUGAAGUGAGAUGAAAAGCAAAGUAAGGUCUGCUCUACAGACUUUGCUGAAAGUGACUUAC